rnacentral:rRNA from 1 species
ACGGAAGGCAGCAGUGAGGAAUAUUGGUCAAUGGGCGAGAGCCUGAACCAGCCAUGUCGCGUGGAGGAAUAAGGAUCUAUGGUUCGUAAACUCCUUUUGCGGGGGGAUAAAGUGCGGGACGCGUCCCGUUUUGUAGGUACCCCGCGAAUAAGCAUCGGCUAACUCCGUGCCAGCAGCCGCGGUAAUACGGAGGAUGCGAGCGUUAUCCGGAUUUAUUGGGUUUAAAGGGUGCGUAGGCGGAUGAUUAAGUCUGUGGUGAAAGCGUGCGGCUCAACCGUACCGAGCCAUGGAAACUGGUUGUCUUGAGUGUAAACGAGGUAGGCGGAAUGUGACAUGUAGCGGUGAAAUGCUUAGAUAUGUCACAGAACUCCGAUUGCGAAGGCAGCUUACCAGCAUACAACUGACGCUGAGGCACGAAAGCGUGGGUAUCAAACAGGAUUAGAUACCCUGGUA